rnacentral:rRNA from 1 species
UACGAAGGGGGGCUAGCGUUGUUCGGAUUUACUGGGCGUAAAGCGCACGUAGGCGGAUCGUUAAGUCAGGGGGUGAAAUCCUGGAGCUCAACUCCAGAACUGCCUUUGAUACUGGCGAUCUUGAGUCCGGAAGAGGUGAGUGGAACUCCUAGUGUAGAGGUGGAAUUCGUAGAUAUUAGGAAGAACACCAGUGGCGAAGGCGGCUCACUGGUCCGGUACUGACGCUGAGGUGCGAAAGCGUGGGGAGCAACAGGAGU